GUGUAUGUGGCUCAGUGGUAGAGCACUUGCCAGGCAUGCAUGAGCCCUGGGUUCCAUCCCUAGCACCACACA
rnacentral:tRNA from 1 species